rnacentral:rRNA from 1 species
GACGAACGGCUGGCGGCGUGCCUAAUACAUGCAAGUCGAGCGGGGAUUAUGCUUGAUCGCUUCGGUGAGACGGCAGAUAUCCUAGCGGCGGACGGGUGAGUAACGCGUGGGUAAUCUACCUCGUAGUUCGGGAUAACAGGCCGAAAGGCUUGCUAAUACCGGAUGAGUUCAUGCUUAUGCAUAUAGGCAUGAAGAAAGGGCUAGCCCGCUAUGAGAUGAGCCCGCGUCCCAUUAGCUUGUUGGUGGGGUAAUGGCCUACCAAGGCAACGAUGGGUAGCCGGCCUGAGAGGGUGUACGGCCACACUGGGACUGAGACACGGCCCAGACUCCUACGGGGGCAGCAGUAGGGAAUUUUCGGCAAUGGGCGAAAGCCUGACCGAGCGACGCCGCGUGAGGGACGAAGGCCGUUCGGGUUGUAAACCUCUGUCUGGGGGGAUGAGAACGGACGGUACCCCCGGAGGAAGCCCCGGCUAACUACGUG